UACGUAGGGGGCAAGCGUUGUCCGGAAUCAUUGGGCGUAAAGAGCGUGUAGGCGGCCCGGUAAGUCCGCUGUGAAAGUCCAGGCUCAACCCUGGGAUGCCGGUGGAUACUGUCGGGCUCGAGUCCGGAAGAGGAGUGUGGAAUUCCUGGUGUAGCGGUGAAAUGCGCAGAUAUCAGGAAGAACACCCGUGGCUAAGGCGGCUCUCUAGUACGGUACUGACGCUGAGACGCGAAAGCGUGGGGAGCGAACAGG
rnacentral:rRNA from 1 species